rnacentral:rRNA from 1 species
GGGUCAUGGCUCAGAUUGAACGCUGGCGGCAGGCUUAACACAUGCAAGUCGAGCGGGGAAAAGUAGCUUGCUACUUCACCUAGCGGCGGACGGGUGAGUAAUGCUUAGGAAUCUGCCUAUUAGUGGGGGACAACAUCUCGAAAGGGAUGCUAAUACCGCAUACGUCCUACGGGAGAAAGCAGGGGAUCUUCGGGCCUUGCGCUAAUAGAUGAGCCUAAGUCGGAUUAGCUAGUUGGUGGGGUAAAGGCCUACCAAGGCGACGAUCUGUAGCGGGUCUGAGAGGAUGAUCCGCCACACUGGGACUGAGACACGGCCCAGACUCCUACGGGAGGCAGCAGUGGGGAAUAUUGGACAAUGGGGGGAACCCUGAUCCAGCCAUGCCGCGUGUGUGAAGAAGGCCUUUUGGUUGUAAAGCACUUUAAGCGAGGAGGAGGCUACCGAGAUUAAUACUCUGGAUAGUGGACGUACUCGCA